UAUUUUGGGGAGGGCCAGUCAACCUUACUGACUAAUGAAGUUAUUCUAACAGGUGCUGCAAAUAUCAAAAGUUGGUGGAAAGACCACCAAGGACUGUGUCCACAAAGCCCUUGACAGACUCUUCUCUAAUGCCGUAAUGGCAUCUUUUAAUAUGAAGGGGAGGGGGCAAAACGGCAAGAGGCCUUUCGGAAACACAAAAAUAUACAGAGCACUACAAGAUGGAGUUAUGAAGUUCGACCAAAAUGCUACGGAGGACUCCAUUAGAACUUUCACCUCAGAACACCUUAAACACGCACCACAAAGAAGUGGAGGGUUCACUGCUCCACAUAGUCACUGAUCAUGUA